rnacentral:lncRNA from 10 species
CCAGUGUAUUAUACAAGAUGUGACUCAGGAACAACUCAAUGGAAGAGUUGUAGAGGACACGGGAACAUAGCAGGGGAAGAUGGGGUGAGUAGGUAAUCCUGUUAAAUAUAUGCAAGUUAAAAAACAAACAACAAAAACAUUCUUUGUGUUCUCCAGGAACAGCUUGGUGAAAACAAACACCUUCUCAUUAUGACUUAGAUGAUGCUUCCUUUACGUACAAUAAAGCCAGAAACAGACAGCGUAAUUUUUUUUUCGCCUCUUAACUAAUUAGCUGACCAAAUUUGUCUUCAGUGGUCAGAACAAAAUACUUGCUAACCAAAUUUUACUUAAGUUUCCCUCCUUCCCUCAGGCCCCUGAACUCUGAUAUACCCUCAGCCUGAGCCAACAUACAACCCCUCUUUAUGCCUCUCCUGUGAACAGGCUGACCUCAGGGUGAAAUGUUCUCUGAUCUAGAAUCCAUCCGGCCCUCUUCCUCUCCUCUUUUUUCUAAUCUAGUUUGCUCCUUCCUAUGAAAGAAAGCCCUUUUCUGCCUAACCUUUAACAUGCUUGCCACUGUUAUACCCAGUGUUUUUCCUCAUUGCAAUACUUCAGAAUAAACUCCCUUCUUACAUAAUUCUGAAUUUACUUUAUUGCAGCAGUUCCCCACCUUUUUGGCAUCAGGGAUCAGUUUCAUAGAACACAGAUUUUCCAUGGAUGGUGGGGAUAGUUUUGGGACCACACUGUUCUACCUCAGAUCAUCAGGCAUUAGAUUCUCAUAAGGAGCACACAACCUAGAUCCCUCCCAUGCACAGUUCACAGUAGGGUUCGUGCUCCUCUGAGAUUCUAAAGCCACCACUGAUCUGACAGGAGAAGGAGCUCAGGUGGUAAUGUUCACUCACCUGCUGCUCACCUCCUGCUGCAUGGCCUGGAUCCUAACAGGCCACCGACAGGUACUGCUCCAUGGCCCAGGGGUUGGGGACCCCUGCUUUAUUGAAUAAUGUCUAGAAAGAAUGCCAGGACAAUGAAAAUUACACCCUUAAAAAGGGGAUCUCAUCCUUUCAAUCCAGGCCCAACCACAUCCACCUGUGAACACCAGAUUUCCAGAACUCUGUAGCUUCUCUCAAUAUAAAGAGCUCCUUUCAUGGCUGAGGUGAGCAGGCUGGGACAUCUGUAAAGGGAGGCUCCCAAGGAAGAACUGAGUGAGGCACUUACGUUUAAUACCUCAACUGGAAAAGCCAAAGUAUCUAUCCCUAUCAUAUAAUAAAUAUGUCAUUUAUUUAUUAUUUCCAUGAUAACAAAUCAUCUCCAGGAGUUGCCAAGUCCUAUCCCAUAAAACUUAGCAUUAAACUCCAAUGUCCAGAUAACAGGAUAAAAAACAGGGUUAUCCACUGUUAUAAAUUCUCCACCCUGCAAAAAGGAGGCACUGAUGUUUUGAUAAAUAUUUAUAAUUCACCAAUUUAUCUACAACACUUGCUUGUGGAAAUGUAUUCAUUUUUCUGCAGCCAUAAUGGAAAAGAGAUUUUUCAUAUUUUUCCCUGGUAACAUUUUGAUAUAGUUUGGCUGUGUCCCUACUCAAAUCUCAUCUUGAAUUGUAACUCCCACAAUUCCCACAUGUGGCAGGAACGUGGUGGGAGGUAAUUGAAUCAUGGGGGCAGGUCUUUCCCCUGCUGUUCUGGUGAUAGCGAAUACGUUUCAUGAGAUCUGAUGGUUUUAAAAACUGGAGUUUCCCUGCACAAGCUCUCUCUCUCUCUGCCUGCAGCCAUCCGCGUAAGACGUGACUUGCUCCUUGUUGCCUUCCGCAUGAUUGUCAGGCUUCCCCAGCCAUGUGGAAAUAUAAGUCCUUUAAAUCUCUUUCUCUUAUAAAUUGUCCAGCCUCAGGUAUGUCUUUAUCAGCAGCAUGAAAACAAACUAAUACACAUUCCCAAAGCAAAGUCCUAGAAUUCCAUUUGAAAUCUCCUUCAAAAAAGAACAGACUUGAGAAACUUACUACACUCACUCUUGGGAAGAAAAAGGUUAACAAGAAUUUUUAACAAAUGGAAUAUGAAUAGAUUUUUGCCCCCUUGAAAUCCACCUCCUUCUUGUCUCUUUGGAAAUAUUUUUUUUUAAUCUUUCAAGCUCUCUGAAUAAAACAUAUUUUAAAGUUAAUGAAAAACUGAAACUGAACUAAGUGAAUAAAUCUUUUCAAGGCAAUAAACUCAGGGAGGGGUCAUGCUGGCAGAACACAGACAUCUCUGGGUCAAGAGUCAGGUCAGGUCACUGCAUCACUUUGGAGAUCCUCACAGGCCCAUUCUCCUCACAGAAAUACUCAAUGACCACCCUCCCAGGAGACACUGUACUGUGCCCCACUGUGUGCUUGAAUUUUUUUUUUUUUUUUGGGACGGAGUCUUGCUCUGUCACCCAGGCUGGAGUGCAGUGGCGUGAUCUCAGCUCACUGCAAGCUCUGCCUCCUAGGUUCACGCCAUUCUCCUGCCUCAGCCUCCUGAGUAGCUGGGACUACAGGCGCCCGCCACCAUGCCCGGCUAAUUUUUUGUAUUUUUAGUAGAGAUGGGGUUUCAUCACAUUAGCCAGGAUGAUCUCGAUCUCCUGACCUCGUGAUCCGCCCGCCUCGGCCUCCCAAAGUGUUGGGAUUACAGGCGUGAGCCACCGCACCUGGCCUGUGUGCCUGAAUUUCUAAGCCCUUUUCUGCCUAAACUUUAACAUGCUUGCAGCUCUUAUACCUGGUGUUUUUCCCCAUUGCAAUACUUUAGAAUAAACUCUCUUUUUUUUUUUUUUCUUUUUCAAACUGAGUCUCCCUCUGUCACCCAGGCUGGAGUGCAGUGGCACCAUCUCAGCUCACUGCAACCUCCACCUCCUGGCCUCAAGCGAUUCUCCUGCCUCAGCCUCCUGAGUAGCUGGGAUUACAGGCAUGCACCACCAGACUGGGCUAAUUUUUGUAUUUUUAGUAGAGACAGUGUUUUGCCAUACUGGCAAGGCUGGUCUCAAACUCCUGACCUCAAGUGAUCUGCCUCCCUUGGCCUCCCAAAAUGCUGGGAUUACAGGCGUGGGCCACCACGCCCAGCCAACUCUCUUCUUACAUAAUUCUGAUGAUGGUGCUUUUCUGGUUCUUGCACCACCUCACUGGGGUGGGUAUUCCUUGUCCUUUGAGAUAGUUUUUCUCCUUUCCCAAGUCCGAGAAAAUCCAGAGCGCAGGAAUCAUUUCUAGAUUUUUCCCUUAAUACCAGCAUCUGACUGGCUGCCACCAACGUGUCUCCAAGGAAUGAUGAAAACUGGGGUUGGAGGAAGAAAAUCCCAAUGCACCAGGGAUUUGUUUUUUAAACGAAGAGUAUACUAGGAGACGUCUCUCAACUCCAGGGCACCCAGAUGCUGCCUGGAGAGGCUCUACUUCCAUAUUUUAAACUGUCCUCUGUGAGGAGAUGACCCAGGAGAAGGUAUUCAUUAGACACUCCAAGAGAUCUGGCUGCUAAACAGAGGACCAAGAAAAGAUAUAAGGGUGGCUGAGGACAUAUCACCCUCUAAAGUUUCCAAAAGGGAACUUCACCCCAAAGAUACUCUGGUAAGAUGUGCACACUCAAAAAAGAUAAAAUUAGGAGAUGCACAAAGACUUUUUUUUUCUACAAUUAACUGUCAGGUGAUUAUUUUCUGCUUUCCACUCAUGUGUAAUGUUCAGAAAUAUUUUAAGAGUGAAAACAAAUAUUUUCAGAACGACUCACUACUCUGAAAAAAAUAACACACUUCAUCUGUAUGAAAUGUACAAUAAAAGACAAAUACUUGAUAAUGUUGCAUUUGAAUAUAGGAAAAGAAUUGGAAAUUUAGGGUUUUACUACAAGCCCCAGAAGAGUUAGGCUGUGGGAACAGGGUCGUUGAUGUGAGAUCCUGUUGCCAUACACUUAGAAAUGUGGAGUGUUAUGUGAAAAUAAUUAAACACAGGCACUAGGGAGACUGAGGUGGGGGGAUCGCUUGAGCCCGAGUCCAAGACUCCAUCAUACACAUGUACAUACACACAUGAAUGAAUAAACAACCAACCAAAACGUAACUCAUGCUUGUCUUGUAAAUUAAUAACUUAAAGGGAAACAAAACAGCCUUAAACAACCACGAACCCACCAAUUAACCUCUGGUUACAUAACCAGGAGAUAUCUGGCUGCACAGUCUAUAUGGGGUGACUACAUAACUGUACACGAUCAAUUAUUUAAUUGGGUUUGCUUCCUCGGGUUCCUUACAAAAAACCCUUUCCUUCCCCAAACCACAAACCACGCUGGUGGCUUCCUAACUCACGACUCUCUGCUCAAAUAAACUCCUUAAUAUUUUAACGGCGCCUCAGUUUUCUUUCUAACAGGAGAAAGGAGGAUUUGGAGACUUCACAGACCACAGCUCCUCCCACGCAGGAACCCCGAACCCCAAGUCGGGACUCUCCCCUGAGGACCCUCCCGUCGGCACCGCACGAUCCGAGGGAGAUGCGGGUCUACAGAGGCAGAGCUGCCCAGAAAGGGUUCCGGGCCUGGCCGAAGCGGCGGGGCAGGGACAAGCCAGGCGGCCCGGGGUCUGGCUGCGGGUCCAGCCCCGCAUCCUGUGCCACUAAGGCCGCGAGGCGCCGGCGGAAACUCGGGUCGGCACCGCGGGGAGGUCCGGGUUCGCCACAACCGCUUCCUGGCGGUUCCCUUUUCCCCUUCCCGAGACACCUGGCCGGCACACUCACCAUUUCCCAGUCUCCGGUGUCUGGGGUCCUCCCUAAGGACCUUCCGGGACCUGCAGGUCCCAG